UACGGGGGGGGCAAGCGUUGUUCGGAAUUACUGGGCGUAAAGGGCUCGUAGGUGGCCAACUAAGUCAGACGUGAAAUCCCCAGGCUCAACUUGGGAACUGCGUCUGAUACUGGAUGGCUUGAAUUCGGGAGAGGGAUGCAGAAUUCCAGGUGUAGCGGUGAAAUGCGUAGAUAUCUGGAGGAAUACCGGUGGCGAAGGCGGCAUCCUGGACCGGUACUGACGCUGAUGCGCGAAAGCGCGGGGAUCAAACAGG
rnacentral:rRNA from 1 species